GGAACUGGUUAUUUUGGAGGUGGUGGAACUGGUUAUUUUGGAGGUGGUGGAACUGGUUAUUUUGGCGGUGGUGGAACUGGUUAUUUUGGUGGUGGUGGAAUUGGUUAUUUUGGAGGUGGUGUAACUGGUUAUUUUGGAGGUGGUGGAACUGAUAAUUUUGGAGGUGUUGGAACUGGCUUUUUUGGAGGUGGUGGAACUGGUUAUUUUGGAGGUGGUUGAACUGGUUAUUUUGGAGGUGGUGGAACUGGUUGUUUUUGCACUGGUUAUUUUGGCGGUGGUGGAACUGGUUAUUUUGGAGGUGGUGGGGCUGGUUAUUUUGGAGGUGGUGGAGCUGGUUAUUUUGGCGGUGGCGGAACUGGUUAUUUUGGCGGUGGUGGAAAUGGUUAUUUUGAAGGUGGUGGAACUGGUUAUUUUGGAGGUGGUGGAACUGGUUAUUUUGGAGGUGGUGGAACUGGUUAUUUUGGAGGUGGUGGAACUGGUUAUUUUGGAGGUGGUGUAACUGGUUAUUUUGGAGGUGGUGUAACUGGUUAUUUUGGAGGUGGUGUAACUGGUUAUUUUGGAGGUGGUGGAACUGGUUAUUUUGAAGGUGGUGGAGCUUGUUAUUUUGGAGGUGGUGGAGCUGGUUAUUUUGGCGGUGGUGGAACUGGUUAUUUUGGCGGUGGUGGAACUGGUUAUUUUGGCGGUGGUGUAACUGGUUAUUUUGGAGGUGGUGGAACUGGUUAUUUUGGAGGUGGUGGAACUGGUUAUUUUGGAGGUGGUGUAACUGGUUAUUUUGGAGGUGGUGUAACUGGUUAUUUUGGAGGUGGUGGAACAGAUUUUUUGGAGGUGGUGGAACUGAUAAUUUUGGAGGUGUGGUAACUGGUUAUUUUGGAGGUGGGGGAACUGGUUAUUUUGGAGGUGGUGUAACUGGCUAUUUUGGAGGUGGUGGAGCUGGUUAUUUUGAGAGUAGUGGAACUGGUUAUUUUGGAGGUGGUGUAACUGGUUAUUUUGGAGGUGGUGGAACUGGUUAUUUUGGAGGUGGUGGAACUGGUUAUU
rnacentral:lncRNA from 1 species